UGGGGAAUAUUGCACAAUGGGCGCAAGCCUGAUGCAGCCAUGCCGCGUGUAUGAAGAAGGCCUUCGGGUUGUAAAGUACUUUCAGCGGGGAGGAAGGCGAUAAGGUUAAUAACCUUGUCGAUUGACGUUACCCGCAGAAGAAGCACCGGCUAACUCCGUGCCAGCAGCCGCGGUAAUACGGAGGGUGCAAGCGUUAAUCGGAAUUACUGGGCGUAAAGCGCACGCAGGCGGUCUGUCAAGUCGGAUGUGAAAUCCCCGGGCUCAACCUGGGAACUGCAUUCGAAACUGGCAGGCUAGAGUCUUGUAGAGGGGGGUAGAAUUCCAGGUGUAGCGGUGAAAUGCGUAGAGAUCUGGAGGAAUACCGGUGGCGAAGGCGGCCCCCUGGACAAAGACUGACGCUCAGGUGCGAAAGCGUGG
rnacentral:rRNA from 1 species